CCUACGGGAGGCAGCAGUCGAGAAUCAUUCACAAUGGGGGAAACCCUGAUGGUGCGACGCCGCGUGGGGGAAUGAAGGUCUUCGGAUUGUAAACCCCUGUCAUGUGGGAGCAAAUUAAAAAGAUAGUACCCCAAGAGGAAGAGCCGGCUAACUCUGUGCCAGCAGCCGCGGUAAUACAGAGGUCUCAAGCGUUGUUCGGAAUCACUGGGCGUAAAGCGUGCGUAGGCUGUUUCGUAAGUCGUGUGUGAAAGGCGCGGGCUCAACCCGCGGACGGCACAUGAUACUGCGAGACUAGAGUAAUGGAGGGGGAACCGGAAUUCUCGGUGUAGCAGUGAAAUGCGUAGAUAUCGAGAGGAACACUCGUGGCGAAGGCGGGUUCCUGGACAUUAACUGACGCUGAGGCACGAAGGCCAGGGGAGCGAAAGGGAUUAGAUACCCCAGUAGUC
rnacentral:rRNA from 1 species